rnacentral:rRNA from 1 species
GAUGAACGCUGGCGGCGUGCCUAAUACAUGCAAGUCGAGCGAACAGAUGAGGAGCUUGCUCCUCUGACGUUAGCGGCGGACGGGUGAGUAACACGUGGAUAACCUACCUAUAGGACUGGGAUAACUUCGGGAAACCGGAGCUAAUACCGGAUAAUAUAUUGAACCGCAUGGUUCAAUAGUGAAAGACGGUUUUGCUGUCACUUAUAGAUGGAUCCGCGCCGCAUUAGCUAGUUGGUAAGGUAACGGCUUACCAAGGCAACGAUGCGUAGCCGACCUGAGAGGGUGAUCGGCCACACUGGAACUGAGACACGGUCCAGACUCCUACGGGAGGCAGCAGUAGGGAAUCUUCCGCAAUGGGCGAAAGCCUGACGGAGCAACGCCGCGUGAGUGAUGAAGGUCUUCGGAUCGUAAAACUCUGUUAUUAGGGAAGAACAAAUGUGUAAGUAACUAUGCACGUCUUGACGGUACCUAAUCAGAAAGCCACGGCUAACUACGUG